GGGGUUGUAGCUCAGUGGUUGAGCGCUCACCUCACAUGCGUGAGGCAUCAAGUUUGAUCCUCAGCACCA
rnacentral:tRNA from 1 species